rnacentral:rRNA from 1 species
GAUGAACGCUGGCGGCGUGCCUAAUACAUGCAAGUCGAGCGAACGGAUAAGGAGCUUGCUCCUUUGAAGUUAGCGGCGGACGGGUGAGUAACACGUGGGUAACCUACCUAUAAGACUGGAAUAACUUCGGGAAACCGGAGCUAAUGCCGGAUAACAUUUGGAACUGCAUGGUUCUAAAGUAAAAGAUGGUUUUGCUAUCACUUAUAGAUGGACCCGCGUCGUAUUAGCUAGUUGGUAAGGUAACGGCUUACCAAGGCAACGAUACGUAGCCGACCUGAAGGGGUGAUCGGCCACACUGGAACUGAGACACGGUCCAGACUCCUACGGGAGGCAGCAGUAGGGAAUCUUCCGCAAUGGACGAAAGUCUGACGGAGCAACGCCGCGUGAGUGAUGAAGGUUUUCGGAUCGUAAAACUCUGUUAUUAGGGAAGAACAAAUGUGUAAGUAACUGUGCACAUCUUGACGGUACCUAAUCAGAAAGCCACGGCUAACUACGUGCCAGCCGCCGCCGUAA